GCUCAGAAGGCUUCAGCGCCAAAAUAUUGUCAGUUACUUCCAUAAGAUCUGAGUUUGUAGCAAUAUCACCAUUUCCAGGAUGAUCUACCACUGGUGAAGACGUAGACAUCAAUGUAACGCAACUAAAUGAUUCGCUCUGUGUCGGGGUUUUGGGUCUCUCUGAAGGAGCAUUUACUUCUGGAGUUCCCCUGCAGCUAGGUGAACCAGUUAUCUCAGCCCUGUUCUCACAUUUUCUCCUAAGGUCAUUCACACCAGAAGAGUUCAACCGGUAAGUUGAAGAACUUGAAGCAUGGUAUCCUUUGGGAAGGGAACCAACAGGAGAAGGAUUUCUGACAAGACUGUUACCCU
rnacentral:misc_RNA from 1 species